UGCCUUUCCAUCCAACUAAAGAGUCACCACUUUCACUUCCGCAAUUGGCCAACCACUCAAAAACAUUAGCCAUUUUCCAUUACCUUUUGGCCCAGCUUGCCCUGACUGCACUCAAAUCACUGCCUUUAAUGGAGCUUCUAAAAAUCUUUUAGAAUCUUUCUCCUCGUGGAAAUACAUUUCUUUGUUUGUUUGUUUGUUUGUUUUUUCAGGGUGAGAUUUGAAGCAACUGUAGCUUCCCUUUCUGCCCCACUCAUUUGGACUUCUCCACUUAGGGUUUCUGAGAUAGUGGAUUGGAAGAUUUCUCUCUAGGGUUUCUCGGGAAGUAGUUCAGAGUGUCUGUCUGCUGCUUUUCCUAACAUUAAUGAAUAUUCUUGAUCGGUUUGCAGAGACAAUGAUUUUUUAAAGAAAAUUAGAGAAACAACAGCAAGCACAUUUCUGUUUGCCUCUCCAAGAUUUCAGAGCUUCUGAUGAAUUAGAUCUGGGGGAGCGCAAGGAUAGAGGAAGAGGAGGAAGAGGGAUAAAAAUUUGGUAGGGAAUAGCAAUUUUGAAACUCAGAAGAAGAGAGAUUUCACAGCUUUCAAAGCAGUACUGGUAUUUUAGGGUUUGUAGGGUAAGUUUUUUCUCUCUUUAUUUUCCAAUAAAUUUUAUGAGCUAGUUGAAUCA